GGGUUAACCUCUCAGUCCCCCUAUGUAUCGUUGCCUUGGUGAGCCGUUACCUCACCAACUAGCUAAUACAACGCAUGUCCAUCUAUAACCACCGGAGUUUUCAACCCGGAGAGAUGCCUCUCCGAAUAUUAUGGGGAAUUAGUACCAAUUUCUCAGUGUUAUGCCCCUGUUAUAGGUAGGUUAC
rnacentral:rRNA from 1 species